rnacentral:rRNA from 1 species
UACGGAGGGGGCUAGCGUUGUUCGGAAUUACUGGGCGUAAAGCGCACGUAGGCGGUUUUGUAAGUUAGAGGUGAAAGCCCCGGGCUUAACUUCGGAAUUGCCUUUGAGACUGCAUCACUUGAACGUCGGUGAGGUGAGUGGAAUUCCGGGUGUAGCGGUGAAAUUCGUAGAUAUUUGGAAGAACACCAGUGGCGAAGGCGGCUCACUGGACGACUGUUGACGCUGAGGUGCGAAAGCGUGGGGAGCAAACAGG